rnacentral:rRNA from 1 species
GACAGGGGGCCCGAGCGUUAAUCGGAAUCACUGGGCUUAAAGGGUGCGUAGGCGGAUCGGAAAGUGUUUCGUGAAAACCCCCGGCUCAACCGGGGAAUUGCGGGGCAAACUUCCGAUCUUGAGGGAAGUAUGGGCGGACAGAACUAUCGGUGGAGCGGUGAAAUGCGUAGAUAUCGAUAGGAAUGCCGAUGGCGAAGGCGGUCCGCUGGGCUUCUCCUGACGCUCAGGCACGAAAGCGUGGGGAGCAAACAGG